AGAGUUUGAUCCUGGCUCAGGACGAACGCUGGCGGCGUGCCUAAUACAUGCAAGUCGAGCGCUAGGGGUGCACCCUUACGGGAGACCCCCUGGAGCGGCGGACGGGUGAGUAACACGUAGGCAACCUGCCUGUAAGACCGGGAUAACUACCGGAAACGGUAGCUAAGACCGGAUAGGUGAUUUUUCCGCAUGGAGGGAUCAAGAAACACGGUGCAAGCUGUGGCUUACAGAUGGGCCUGCGGCGCAUUAGCUAGUUGGUGGGGUAACGGCUCACCAAGGCGACGAUGCGUAGCCGACCUGAGAGGGUGAUCGGCCACACUGGGACUGAGACACGGCCCAGACUCCUACGGGAGGCAGCAGUAGGGAAUCUUCCGCAAUGGACGCAAGUCUGACGGAGCAACGCCGCGUGAGUGAAGAAGGUUUUCGGAUCGUAAAGCUCUGUUGCCAAGGAAGAACGCCUUGGGGAGUCACUGCCCUGAGGGUGACGGUACUUGAGAAGAAAGCCCCGGCUAACUACGUGCCAGCAGCCGCGGUAAUACGUAGGGGGCAAGCGUUGUCCGGAAUUAUUGGGCGUAAAGCGCGCGCAGGCGGCCGCUUAAGUUUGGUGUAUAAGCCCGGGGCUCAACCCCGGAUCGCACCGAAAACUGGGUGGCUUGAGUGCAGGAGAGGAAAGCGGAAUU
rnacentral:rRNA from 1 species